rnacentral:rRNA from 1 species
AAUCAACGCUGGCGGCGUGCUUCAGACAUGCAAGUCGAACGCGAAAGUUUCCUUCGGGAAGCGAGUAGAGUGGCGCACGGGUGAGUAACACGUAAGUAAUCUACCUUUGGGUGGGGAAUAACUCAGGGAAACUUGAGCUAAUACCGCAUAAUGCAGCGGCUCCUUAUGGAGACGGUUGUUAAAGAAUUUAUUCGCCUAAA